rnacentral:rRNA from 1 species
CCUACGGGAGGCAGCAGUGGGGAAUAUUGCACAAUGGGGGAAACCCUGAUGCAGCCAUGCCGCGUGUGUGAAGAAGGCCUUCGGGUUGUAAAGCACUUUCAGUUGUGAGGAAAGUUUAGUAGUUAAUACCUGCUAGAUGUGACGUUAGCAACAGAAGAAGCACCGGCUAACUCCGUGCCAGCAGCCGCGGUAAUACGGAGGGUGCGAGCGUUAAUCGGAAUUACUGGGCGUAAAGCGCACGCAGGCGGUCUGUUAAGCUAGAUGUGAAAGCCCCGCGCUCAACGUGGGAGGGUCAUUUAGAACUGGCAGACUAGAGUCUUGGAGAGGGGAGUGGAAUUCCAGGUGUAGCGGUGAAAUGCGUAGAGAUCUGGAGGAACAUCAAUGGCGAAGGCAACUCCCUGGCCAAAGACUGACGCUCAUGUGCGAAAGUGUGGGUAGCGAACAGGAUUAGAUACCCUGGUAGUCCACACCGUAAACGCUGUCUACUAGCUGUUUGUGAAUUUAAUUCGUGAGUAGCGAAGCUAACGCGAUAAGUAGACCGCCUGGGGAGUACGGCCGCAAGGUUAAAACUCAAAGGAAUUGACGA